GGUGGCAUGGCCGAGUGGUCUAAGGCGCUGGAAUUAGGUAAAGUUGGACCCGGAUCAACCCGGAUCAGCACUUCUUACGUAAUCCAGUCCGAAAGGGCGUGGGUUCGAACCCCACUGCCAUCA